rnacentral:snRNA from 1 species
AUACUCUGCUCACCAGGGUGGUUUUCCCAGGCAAAGCUUAUCUGUUGCAUUCCUAAUGUGCUGACAUUUGCAGUUUCCCCAGUGUGGGAAACUCGACGUGUCAUUUGUGGUUGUGGUGGACUGUACUUGUGCUCUCCUCCG